UGCGGAAGGAUCAUUGCCGUCGCCUUUGGAGAACACGACCGGUGCACAAGUGACUCUAAGCUGUCGGGGAGGCGCUGCCUCCUCGGCCCCACCGGCCACGGACGUGUCUGCCCUUCGGGGCGUGUCGGGCGUGGUUUCGGAAUACGGCGCGGGAUGUCGCCAAGGAACACACAUUUGCCGAGCGGACCGCGAGGCUUCGGCGUCAGGCGGUCCGUGGAGGCCAAGGUAACACGAUGAGACGACUCCCGGCAACGGAUAUCUCGGCUCUCGCAUCGAUGAAGAACGUAGCGAAAUGCGAUACAUGGUGUGAAUUGCAGAAUCCCGUGAACCAUCGAGUCUUUGAACGCAAGUUGCGCCCGAGGGACCAUCCCGAGGGCACGCCUGCCUCUUGGGCGUUAGAAGCCCAUCCACGCUCGGUGCAAGCGCUCUGCGGUGCACCGGUGCGGACACUGGCCCUUCGAGCCGUGAGGCACGACGGGCACAAGCGUACGGCAGUCGGUUGAGGCCGGGAGCGGCGAGUGGUGGGCUAACUGCGCACGCUGCCUCCGGACCACAUGCCGGCAGAGGGCCCGGUUUGACCCCAGAAGGACGAGCCUGCCGUCACGUGCGGCAGCUUCGGACCCAUACCCCAGGUCAGGCGGGACUAC
rnacentral:rRNA from 1 species